rnacentral:pre_miRNA from 1 species
UGAUGAUGAUGAUGAUGAUGAUGGUGAUGAUAAUGAUGAUGAUGAUGAUCAUGAUCAUCAUGAUCAUCAUCAUCAUCAUCAUCAUCAUCAUCAUUA